ensembl:lncRNA
CUCCAGUAUGUCCGGGAAUCAGCCCUGUGGUCUAGGUGCCUGUUUCAACCCAACAACAGAACGUUGCUGUGUGAACCCUACAUCUCUCCAGGGACAAAGUUACUCCUACGACCAGACCUGCUGUGAGGGAACACUACGCCACACCCCAUAUCUCUACAAUGGUGCUAGCUGUGGCUCUCAGGUUUACAAUCCAGACAGUAAAAUCUGCUGUGCCGGGAAGCUGUCCAAUAGGGUGCUUGGAAAAAACCUGUGCUGUGGUACAACUCCGUAUGGUGUAGAGGACCGAGGGGUGCUGUGCUGUAACCAGACCUUGCACCAUGUGGUGGAGGAUGGGUACCAGUGCUCCCCAGGUGGCCACUUGUAUCUGCCAUCCCGUGACAUGGUGUGUGGCUCACGAGUUCAUCUGAACGAUCCAGGCAAACACUGCUGUGGGGAGGAGACAUAUUACCCUCAGAAUGAAAUCUGCUGCAACGG